GACGAACGCUGGCGGCGUGCUUAACACAUGCAAGUCGAACGGAAAGGCCUUUUCGGAGGUACUCGAGUGGCGAACGGGUGAGUAACACGUGGGUGAUCUGCCCUGCACUCUGGGAUAAGCCUGGGAAACUGGGUCUAAUACCGGAUAGGACCGCACUUUAGUGUGUGUGGUGGAAAGUUUUUUCGGUGUAGGAUGAGCCCGCGGCCUAUCAGCUUGUUGGUGGGGUAAUGGCCUACCAGGGCGGCGACGGGUAGCCGGACUGAGAGGUUGGUCGGCCACAUUGGGACUGAGAUACGGCCCAGACUCCUACGGGAGGCAGCAGUGGGGAAUAUUGCACAAUGGGCGCAAGCCUGAUGCAGCGACGCCGCGUGGGGGAUGACGGCCUUCGGGUUGUAAACUCCUUUCGCCAGGGACGAAGCGUUUUGUGACGGUACCUGGAGAAGAAGCACCGGCUAACUACGUG
rnacentral:rRNA from 1 species